ensembl:lncRNA
GAAGUAGUGCAAACAGAAGACUUGGUCUGAGUGUAGAGUCCAUGUGUGAGCAGUCAGAGUGCCCAUGCUGACCCCGUCCACCACCAAAAAACCAACAAUGUGAGCAUAAACUGGACCACAGAGCAUGGAAGGAGGUGAACUCGUCUCACGUGGAUGGCCAGGUGUGUGUGUGCAUUGCUUACCUGGGGAACACCUGACACCAGGAAGAAGGAUAAUGCACUAAUGCACAGAAACGGUUUGAGGAGCACAACAACCAGUUUGAGGUGUUGACUUGGCCUCCAGAUUCCCCGGAUCUCGGUCCAGUGGAGCAUCUGUGGGAUGUGCUGGACACACAGUCCGAUCCACGGAGGCCAACCUCACAGCUUACAGGACUGACAGGACCUGCUGCUGACACGUUGGUGCAGAUACCACAGCACGCCCUCAGGGGUCGAGCGGAGGCCACGCCUUGAUGGGUCAGGGGGAGCGACGCAGUUCCACCACUAACAGGCAGGGGGCAGCACAGGCGAUAAACGAGCAAACGCAUCUUUAAAUGAGCAGCUUUGUUGUUGCUUAGAGAAGGAAAGAGGAGUGGUUCCUCUCCACUGGGUGAUGACAUCAUCGCACCUGUGAGGAGACAGGUGAGCGAACGUGCCGACGCUCCCCAAUUAUCACAAGUGACACCGUGUCAGCAAAUUAGAUCGUUGCUCAACGACGCCUGGAGUGUCGGUGAGCAGCGGGAGGCCCGGCAGACCUCCAGCAGCAUCCAUCUGACACACACACACACACACACACACACACACACACACACACACACACACACACACACACACACACCCCUUCCCUGCUAUUCCUUUUAUGUCUCUCACGCACACGAACACACACUCAUGGACAUUACCUGCCUCUCAGCCCAAGUUACCUUCAUGUGAUUUAUGACUUAUUGCUGUCAUUAAUCAGCACACAUGUGGCUCUGCUGGCUGUCUGAAAUAUUACACAACUUGUGCGAGGCCUUUAAAUGUCUGAUGUGAAGCAGGUCGACUCGUUUGGUGCUGCAGACAAUUAAAGAAUAAAGAAAACACACCU